CCCAAGCAAGCCAGGAAGGAGGAGGCAGCCAGAGUGUUCUCUGCAGCAGAAGACCCCUUGCUGCCCUGCUUAACCCAGACCAGCAUUUGCCAGAUCUUUGAUGCUGUCUGACAGGAAUCCUUUUUAAAUGAUGUAUUGGAUGGAUUGACUGUAGAAUCACAGAGAGGUCUUCAAAAUCUUCACAGACCUCCAAGUUUUGUUUCAUUUUAUAUCCUGAACAUAUACGCCUAUCCUGCGCUCGCGAGGCUACGCAGCCAACGGUGAAGACGACGCAGAGCAGGUGGCUCUUGAAGUGACACAGGAGCAAGUGAAAGUUCACUUCUGGCACAGACUGACAAGAAGUGGGAAGCAGC